ACCGAAAACCACGGGAGCGCACGCGUGAGUGCGCUGAGAGGACGGCUAGCGCCGUCGACCGUCGAACCUGUCCGGGUAAUGCCGGCGUAGGGAGUGAGAAUGACCGAUCUG
rnacentral:ncRNA from 1 species